rnacentral:rRNA from 1 species
GGUUUCAAUACCUCUCAGGUUACAGAUCCUAUCUGAUCUUGGAAACUAAGCAGGGUCAGCCCUGGUUAGUAUUUGCAUGGGAGACCGCUACUGAAUACCAGGUGCUGUAGACU